CUACGGGACGCACCAGUGGGGAAUAUUGCACAGUGGGCGCAAGCCUGAUGCAGCAACGCCGCGUGAGGGAUGAAGGCCUUCGGGUUGUAAACCUCUUUUAGCAGGGAAGAAGCGAAAGUGACGGUACCUGCAGAAAAAGCACCGGCUAACUACGUGCCAGCAGCCGCGGUAAUACGUAGGGUGCAAGCGUUGUCCGGAAUUAUUGGGCGUAAAGAGCUCGUAGGCGGUUUGUCACGUCUGCUGUGAAAAUCCAAGGCUCAACCUUGGACUUGCAGUGGGUACGGGCAGGCUAGAGUGCGGUAGGGGAGAUGGGAAUUCCUGGUGUAGCGGUGGAAUGCGCAGAUAUCAGGAGGAGCACCAAUGGCGAAGGCACAUCUCUGGGCCGUAACUGACGCUGAGGAGCGAAAGCGUGGGGAGCGAACAGGAUUAGAUACUCCCGUAGUC
rnacentral:rRNA from 1 species